rnacentral:rRNA from 1 species
UACGUAGGCAGCAAGCGUUGUUCGGAGUUACUGGGCGUAAAGGGUGUGCAGGCGGUCGCUUAAGUUUGGUGUGAAAUCUCCCGGCUCAACUGGGAGGGUGCGCCGAAAACUGAGCGGCUCGAGUGCGGGAGAGGAGAGUGGAAUUCCUGGUGUAGCGGUGAAAUGCGUAGAUAUCAGGAGGAACACCGGUGGUGUAAACGGCUCUCUGGACCGUAACUGACGCUGAGACACGAAAGCGUGGGGAGCAAAC